rnacentral:rRNA from 1 species
GAGGCUUUGAAGUGUGGACGCCAGUCUGCAUGGAGCCGACCUUGAAAUACCACCCUUUAAUGUUUGAUGUUCUAACGUAGGCCCCUUAUCGGGGUUGCGGACAGUGUCUGGUGGGUAGUUUGACUGGGGCGGUCUCCUCCUAAAGAGUAACGGAGGAGCACGAAGGUUGGCUAAUCCUGGUCGGACAUCAGGAGGUUAGUGCAAUGGCAUAAGCCAGCUUGACUGCGAGCGUGACGGCGCGAGCAGGUGCGAAAGCAGGUCAUAGUGAUCCGGUGGUUCUGAAUGGAAGGGCCAUCGCUCAACGGAUAAAAGGUACUCCGGGGAUAACAGGCUGAUACCGCCCAAGAGUUCAUAUCGACGGCGGUGUUUGGCACCUCGAUGUCGGCUCAUCACAUCCUGGGGCUGAAGUAGGUCCCAAGGGUAUGGCUGUUCGCCAUUUAAAGUGGUACGCGAGCUGGGUUUAGAACGUCGUGAGACAGUUCGGUCCCUAUCUGCCGUGGGCGCUGGAGAACUGAGGGGGGCUGCUCCUAGUACGAGAGGACCGGAGUGGACGCAUCACUGGUGUUCGGGUUGUCAUGCCAAUGGCACUGCCCGGUAGCUAAAUGCGGAAGAGAUAAGUGCUGAAAGCAUCUAAGCACGAAACUUGCCCCGAGAUGAGUUCUCCCUGACCCUUUAAGGGUCCUGAAGGAACGUUGAAGACGACGACGUUGAUAGGCCGGGUGUGUAAGCGCAGCGAUGCGUUGAGCUAACCGGUACUAAUGAACCGUGAGG